GCCAGUGUAGUGUAGUGGUCUGAGCAUUGGACUAGGAUACUGGAGACUAGGGUUUGAAUCCCCACUCUGCCG